CAUUGGAUCGAGUGAAAAAAUGUGCUUCGCAAGCAGCUUAUUCAUCUUGAACAUAUCAGUGUAGUCCGUUUCGAAAACCAAUCUCAAGGCAUCAUCACAGAUUAUAUUUCUUUUGUUACAUGGAUCUUGAAGGUUGUGUUUCCUAAUGUACGCCCAUAGCUGUUUUACAAUCUGGAUCAGAAAACAGCAUCAGCUUUCCACGAAAAUGGAAUAUUACAGGAUAAAAUAAUAUUAGAAAUUGUCUUUUAAUUAAACAGCAGCUAGAUCUGUCGACCCAGUAGUCCGUUUCGAAAACCAAUCUCAAGGCAUCAUCACAGAUUAUAUUUCUUUUGUUACAUGGAUCUUGAAGGUUGUGUUUCCUAAUGUACGCCCAUAGCUGUUUUACAAUCUGGAUCAGAAAACAGCAUCAGCUUUCCACGAAAAUGGAAUAUUACAGGAUAAAAUAAUAUUAGAAAUUGUCUUUUAAUUAAACAGCAGCUAGAUCUGUCGACCCAAAC
rnacentral:lncRNA from 1 species